UCCUACCUGGCGACGCGCCGGCGUCGCCCCCCUCGCUCGCUAACCGCUCCCCCGCUCCCCCUUCCCCUCCCGGGACUAUUAUUUAUGCUCGUCGCUGUCUCGCGUAUUUACUCACGCUUCACUCCCUUCCUUCUCCGUCGCCAUCAACACCCCCCCUCCGGUCUCCGCCUCCUCCUCCACUUAUCCAUCCCCUCUCUACUAAUUUCGCCUUCUCUUGUACAUCACGACCGGGUAGUACUCCAGUUAUUAGUGCAGCAGUGUUUGUUGGCUGGCUGGCUGGUCGUUGCUACCUGGAGGCCGUGGCAGCCGCGGAGCGGAGCAACCCUAGCUGUUGGGGUGUUGUCUUCGCGUCGCGGCGGGGAGAAGCUAGCUAGCGGCGCUGGCCAUGGAGGCGCUCCUGCCGGUAAAAAGCGAUCCGAUCACCAGGGCGUUGAGUGAAAGAAUGAAUCCUCUCAACAGACCAACCUUUCCAGACGGUUGGUCUAUAACAUCCGAAGAUUCACCAGCAAUGUCGCCGAGAUUGUUGUCCUUCAAGUCCAACUCCAGCACCGAGAGCUACUUCCAAGGGUCUGGAAGAGUGCUGUCACAAUCAGAUCGACAUAUCUGCACUCCAAAUGUGGAUAUCAACUAUGCAGAGUACUUAGAUUUGAUGAAGCUGGAAGUCAAUGCACAGCUUGAUAAGCUCAAGGGGGAUGUAACAGGUUUGGAAAACUAUGCUUUACCAGAUAAUGGUUACAUAAUGGGCACACACCUCGGAAUGUCUCUUGAUGUGAUGCUGAUCGAGAUAGAUGAAAGGUUCAAUGCCCUGAAGCUGCUGCUGGCCGUCGUGUUCCGGCAAGCUAGGGAGAUGCUUGGCCUGACCAGCCCGUCGGUUACUGAUCUCCAGUGGGAGCAUGAGUUGCAACUGGAAGUCGUCAGUAUUACAAUCGGAGAAUGCAUUAGUGGCCUGCAAGAGGAGCUAGAGAGGAAGCUGUAUGAACAAAUGUCUGUCACAAACACAAUGAGUAAGAAUUGGCAGGAAGUUGUAGCUCAAUUUGCCGCGAUGCGCGAAGACCUGGGUGCUGUUUCUAAGCUGUUGUUGCCUUCAGUACCAGAAUCACAUAUUUCUCACAGUAAGAGUGAAAGUUCAGGCAACAGGAGCAGUAGGUGGAAAUAUAAUUUAUUUGGAAAGAAAACAAAGGAGGAGCAUUCUUCAUCGCGCUCUGAGGGAAGCAAGAGUUUCAGGAAACAGAAGUCCAUGGUCAUCUCAGAAAAAUCUGACUUCCGUCAUCUAAAUGCUAUGACUAAGGAAGAAACAAUAAGCUAUUUUAAGUCCGAGAUAAGCAAAUUAAAGAGGACGCAUGAAUUGGCCCUGCAAGAAAAGACAGAAGAGCUCUUCAAAUUGAAGCGGGAGAAGGGAUCACUUGCUCUUCAGAAUGACGUGGAGUUUGAACCUUUAAGAAGGAAAAUCCCAGAGAUCAUCACUAGAAUGGAUAAAAUCAUUUCCAAGAAUAUAAAGGUGCCCGCACUUCGUGAGACUCACACUGACAAAUGCAGACUCGCAAGCAGAAUUGAUUCUUUAUACUAUGACAAUCAGCAUCUUAGAGGUUUGCUUGCAGAUAAUAUGAAUGAUGUUAAGGUAUUAUCAUCUCAGCUGUCUGAAGCCAGUAGAGACAUGUCUCUUCAGUUUUCGUCGGAAGAAGAACUCUUGAGGAAAAUUGAGAAAAGUAAAGAUGAGUGUGAGGAUCUCCUAAUUGAAGGUGUUGUUAAGGAUGGGCUAUACCGCACUGUUACAGGAAGCUUACUUAAUGAUUCUAUGCACGAAAUGCAUGAUGCUGCUCUGAAUUUUGACGCGAAACUUUUUUCACUUGAAGCUGUGAUUUCUGAAAAGGAGAAGGCGUUGUGUUUAUCAAAUGAAGAAAAUUGGAAGUUAAAGGAGAAACUUGCAGCCCUAGAAAAGGAAUGUUUAUUCAGAGAUCAUCAGGAAGAUCCAGAAGUCAUCAAGCAAGAAAGUGUCGAGAUGAUUUUGUGUGAUAUCGAGGUGGAGCCUCAAACAUCACCAGGAAUAUCACACGAGUAUGUUGAACUUAUCAAACUGAACAGAAAUAUGGAUUAUGAUGGUGCUCUCAGUAAAAAGGAGCAAGAAAAGCAACUGGAGUGCAUUUUGAUAUCUAUUAUGAAGUUGUCAAAGGAGUUUGUGGAGAUUGAGCAAAAAUUGUCAACAGAAAGAACUGAAAACAGAUCAAAGGAUUUGAGCGAUCAUUGCAGUCACAUGGUCAGACAAGCCAUGGUACUAACAAAAAUAAGCCUCUGGUACAAACAAAUGCUUGAAACAAGGCGUUCUGAGCUCCAAAAGGCUGAAGCUAAGGUCGUCAUUUUGGGCGACAAAGUUAAUGCACAUUUGGGCCUUCUCCAAAAGAUGCAUGUAACUCUCGAUCACUACUCUCCUACAUUGCAGCAAUAUCCAGGGAUUCUUAUACAAAUUCACGUCAGUUAAUUUGGGACGGAGGGAGUAGCAUGUUGAGUUUGGCACCCAUAGAAGUUGUAUGUGUUACAAUUGUUGCUGGAUACUUUCUUGAAGACAUGCAAGCUCGUCGCAGGUUUGAGAAGUAGACAGGAUGAAGAUGAUGCAACAUAAACGAGGGUAGCUAGGCUUUAGACUGCUUGAGUGUGGCUUAGGACCCAGGAGAUGAUAGGUAGAUACAGCUGAUGCCCAGGCUCAUGUGCUUAGCCAUGUGACUCAGUAGAUUAGAUCGAGAGGAUUCUUUCAGGCUUGAGUUUUGAUGUCUGUAUAUUUCAAAGCGAUUGAACUGGUACUUGACUUCUGAUCUGCAGUUACAAGUUCAUAUAAGCAUCUUGAUGUGGAUCAUGCAUGCCAUCGUAGUUACAAGUUGGGAUUUGAGAAUGUAGUGUUCUAUAUAUCGUGCACAUGAUGGUCGCGUGCUGUACAAAAUAACUAUAAAUUAUAAGGGCUGCUUGGAAUGCAUGA